rnacentral:rRNA from 1 species
CGGGGGGAGCAAGCGUUGUUCGGAUUUACUGGGCGUAAAGGGCGCGUAGGCGGCCUCUGCAAGUCGACUGUGAAAUCUCCGGGCUUAACCCGGAACGGUCAGCCGAUACUGCAGGGCUAGAGUGCAGAAGGGGCAACUGGAAUUCUCGGUGUAGCGGUGAAAUGCGUAGAUAUCGAGAGGAACACCUGCGGCGAAGGCGGGUUGCUGGGCUGACACUGACGCUGAGGCGCGAAAGCUAGGGGAGCGAACGGGAUUAGAUACCCUGGUAGUCCUAGCCUUAAACGAUGAAUGCUUGGUGUCUGGGGUUUUAUAGUCCCCGGGUGCCGUCGCUAACGCUUUAAGCAUUCCGCCUGGGGAAUACGGUCGCAAGACUG